rnacentral:rRNA from 1 species
GUAGGGAAUAUUGGGCAAUGGAUGCAAGUCUGACCCAGCCAUCCCGCGUGCCGGAAGAAGGCCCUCAGGGUUGUAAACGGCUUUUGACGGUGAAGAACCGACAGGAUGCGUCCUGUUUUGACGGUAGCCGUUGAAUAAGCACCGGCUAACUCCGUGCCAGCAGCCACGGUAAUACGGAGGGUGCGAGCGUUGUCCGGAUUUAUUGGGUUUAAAGGGUGCGUAGGCUGGAAGGUCAGUCAGCGGUGAAAAGCUAUCGCUUAACGAUAGUCUUGCCGCAGAUACUUCCUUUCUUGGAUGAGGAGGAGGCCACUGGAACGGAUGGUGUAGCGGUGAAAUGCAUAGAUAUCAUCCAGAACACCGAUUGCGAAGGCAGGUGGCUGUACCUUAAUCGACGCUGAUGCACGAAAGCAUGGGGAGCAAACAGGAUUAGAAACCCGGGUAGUCC